rnacentral:rRNA from 1 species
GACGAACGCUGGCGGCGUGCCUAAUACAUGCAAGUAGAACGCUGAAGGAGGAGCUUGCUCUUCUGGAUGAGUUGCGAACGGGUGAGUAACGCGUAGGUAACCUGCCUGGUAGCGGGGGAUAACUAUUGGAAACGAUAGCUAAUACCGCAUAAGAGUAGAUGUUGCAUGACAUUUACUUAAAAGGUGCAAUUGCAGCACUACGAGAUGGACCUGCGUUGUAUUAGCGAGUUGGUGGGGUAACGGCUGACCAAGGCGACGAUACGUAGCCGACCGGAGAGGGGGAGUGGCCGCACUGAGAGUGAGACCCGCCCCAGACGGACUGGGGAGGGGGCAGGAGGGAUUCGUCGGCAAGGGGCGGAAGUUUGACCGCGCAACGCGGCGUGAGGGAGGAAGGAUGCCGGAUCGGAAAGCUCGGUUGUAAGAGAAGAACGAGUGUGAGCGUGUAAAGUUCCGUCUGUGACGGUAACUGACCAGAAAGCGACGGCUAACUACGUG